rnacentral:rRNA from 1 species
UACGAAGGGGGCUAGCGUUGCUCGGAAUCACUGGGCGUAAAGGGUGCGUAGGCGGGUCUUUAAGUCAGGGGUGAAAUCCUGGAGCUCAACUCCAGAACUGCCUUUGAUACUGAAGAUCUUGAGUUCGGGAGAGGUGAGUGGAACUGCGAGUGUAGAGGUGAAAUUCGUAGAUAUUCGCAAGAACACCAGUGGCGAAGGCGGCUCACUGGCCCGAUACUGACGCUGAGUGCACGAAAGCUAGGGGAGCAAACAGG